UUAGGGUUUUAUAUCGCGCAUAUUGUGGUAGCCGCAGCUGAGCUUGUUUCCCUUGCCGCUUCACCCACCGUAGCAACCAUGGUAUCUGAACGAACUUGGUCCUCUUAGCUCUUUCAUAGGUGAUAAAGCUGAUGCAGAGCUUCAAAUCCAGAGAGUAUGUGGAGGUCCACGCGAACCUGGUGGUGAUUUUGGUGACAAGGGUGGAGCUCCUGCUGACUACAGGGUGGAGCUUCAAAUCCCUUUGAACUCACGCUUUCCUUGUGGGUGGUCCUGGUGGAAGGCCUGGUUUUGGUCAUGGUUCCGGUGGUUAUGGUGCACCAACUAGUUCAAACUUUCCUUCUUAAAUAUAAUGUUAUGUGCUCUAGUUUUUGCAAUUUUGGCUGUCAUUGGAGUUAAUAGUAGUUGUUCCCCUCUCCCAAUAGUUGCUCGAUAAUAGGUUGACAAUAUUAUUGUUUAUGUUGGAUGAUUGAUGGUUUAGAAAGUGAAAAAGGAAAAGCCUUUAUUUUUAUAUCAAAAAGUAACUUUAUUUCUGAUGGUUUA